CUAAAGCUGAGGUGGAGAGACGCAGAGAGAGAGGGAGAGAGAGAGAGAGAACGAUAGAUAGGAGGUGAACAAUUGUAGUUGGAUUUUGCUGGAGACCGUGAACCCGCUGGACCUGCAGCUGACCAGGAGACCGCAAGGCUUAUAGAAUCUUAGGGUCAAGAGCAUGGAGGCCUUUAAAGGAGAUGGACGAGCAUUGCGUUGAAUCAUACAGGACGGUUUCAUGCCUGAGCUGCAAGUCAUCAGCUAGGGUCUGUUGCUGAUCUUACUAACUAACGUCACCGCCGACCCUUGACGAGCAAGGAGUUGCAUAAGGAUUCUUUGCAAAGUUCGUUGCAUACCCGCUCGGGGCCUCCUCGCGGGCCGCAAGGAAAUUGGCCUUAAACCCACAAAAUCGAUUAUAUCUUCCAAACUAGCUGGACGAUUUUGAUGUCCUUUGGCCAGUUGGUAGCCCUGGUCCAUAGAAAUCGCCAGGACACGCAAGGAUACUGCGGAGUUACACCGACAUUUGUGUUUAAAAAAGUCCUUAUAUCUCAGCUGUUUGAAGGACUUUCGCACUUUGGACUUUGCUAAUUCAUAAUUUGGAGGAUGAGCACUAUCAACUGACCAAAGGACAUCCCGAUAGUCCUUCAAAUGGCGAAGUAAGUCCUGAAAUUUGCGAUUUUCCGACGAACACUCUUGUCGAUAUUGAAGAAAAAUUGUUGAUCGAAUCCUGGAAAUUCUUGAAUGCCAAUCGAUAGUCAUGUUCUUUGAUCUUUGAGAAUAUAGCCGUAAUAUGGCCACAAAAAUAAUGUCCAGUUUAUAAAAAUUGUCAUAUCUCGGAAACUACAAGGACGAUUUUAAUGUCAUUUGGACAGUUCAUAGGGCUGGUACGUAACAGUUGUUUGACACAGGAGUUGUCAGGAUCCGUAAGGAUAUGGCCACGUUACAGCCUUAUCGUUCUACAGACAAAAUGCCUUAUAGCUUGGCUCCUUCCUUGGUUCCUUAUCACAUUUUGGAUUGGCAGGACAAGGUAUCUGUUGGCUAAAGGACAUCAUGAUCGACCUUGAAACGUUCAAGUCACGAAGAAUUUGGAAAUUAAUAUCAUUUUUGGAUUUAUACCCAUAACAUAAAGAAUACGGAUUCUAUCAUAUAUUUUGUUUUUAUUUCACGUUUUAUUUGCUUGCUUUUGUUGAUUUCAUUGUUAAAGAGCAAUUGUUGUUGUUGCUGUAACUAUUUUGUAAUGUUUAUAUGAUAAUUUAAUGCUAGCUUUUUGUUUUUAUAACUUGACGCGGUAAUCCUUAAUAUUUGUAUAAUUAUUAUAAUUGUAAAUCAUUAUUAUUAUUAUGAUCAGUACUGCAAAAGUUGAUAAAUCGCUUAAUAUGCUCAAUUAUAUAUAUGUGUGUGAAUAUGUGUGUGUGUGUGCAUAUCGACUUUAUGUUGAUAUAUAUAUUUAUAUAUAUAUAUAUCGACUUUGUAAUUCGAUUUAUUUAUGUUGUUUGAACAAACUCAAGAAUCGUAUAUGCGUGUGUGCUUUUAAAUACAAUACAAUUACAAUUACAGUUAUUCAAUAUAUAUUUGAUUUAUUUAUACGUAUGUUUAUAUAGAUAUCGUUUAUAUAAUGUGAACUCUAAACGCUAGCGAGCUCCCAGUUCUUCCUGGGCUUUCCUUUCCAAUUGCUGCUCGUUUUGCCCUUUCUCUCUCCGGCUUUGUUGGCUAUUUCAUUCAAGUUGACACAGCUUGCAGAUGAAUUGCUUUAGCGCGCCUUUUUAGAUACAUUAGUGUAUGUUCUUUAAACUUUAUAAUUAUAAUUAUGCAUAUUUCUAUAUAUAUAUUAUAUAUAAAUGUAUUAUUCAUAAAUUUAAAUUUCAAGGGUGGGCGUUCUUUUUAUUAUUUAUACGUUUAUUUUGCUUUGAAUUCAUUUCGUUUCUACAUAUGUAUAUAUAAGUUUUGAGGGGAAAUCAAACUAAAUUGCCGCAUUAUCAGAUUGCCACAGUGAUAUAUAGCAUAUAUAUGUGUAUGUAUAGCAUAAAUAAGCGUUUCCAUUUGAAUGCUUAUAGAGAAUAUACACAUAAAAUAAAAACAUUCGAAGCGCCCGCAACAUAACAAAAACUUAAUAGCAUAAUUUGGAUUGAUUAAUUCAAAAAUUUGAACAAAACCGAUAUCCAAAUUUUUUCAAACUAAACAAAUUAAGAUGGAAAACGAAACAAAAAUUCGAUUUUCCAUUUUUCUUGUUUGCGAACAACAAUUUGUUUCGUUUUCUUGCAAUUUAUGCGCUUUACUAAUUAAUUUAUUU